rnacentral:tRNA from 1 species
UCUAAUAUGGCAGAUUAGUGCAAUGAACUUAAGCUUCAUAUAUAAAGACAAUUCUUUUAUUAGAA